rnacentral:rRNA from 1 species
UACGUAGGGCGCAAGCGUUGUCCGGAAUUAUUGGGCGUAAAGAGCUCGUAGGCGGUCUGUCGCGUCUGGUGUGAAAUCCCAUGGCUCAACUGUGGGCUUGCAUCGGGUACGGGCAGACUAGAGUGCUGUAGGGGAGACUGGAAUUCCUGGUGUAGCGGUGGAAUGCGCAGAUAUCAGGAGGAACACCGAUGGCGAAGGCAGUUCUCUGGGCCGUAACUGACGCUGAGGAGCGAAAGCGUGGGGAGCGAACAGG